GAACUUCCAGGCUAGAUUAUUUGUGUUGCGGCAGUAGCAGGCCUGUGAGUUUGGGCAGGUCCGCGGAGACAAACAGUGGAGUCGCGUUACGUUUCAGUGCAGCAGCUCCGGUUGGACAACAGAGAACUCUGGCGUUGCUAGGCAACCAGGGGAUACUCGACUCCAGGAAGUUAUCGGCCAAGAACUUGUCCGACACAUGAACCCACCAGAAAACUACACUUUCACUUUCAAACCUCCGUUUUUUCUGAGAGUCCCCUGGUAUUGCCACCAAACCUAGACAACGUCCCUUCUGCUGGUCCCAGUUCAGGUAGACUUGUCUUUGCACUGACUGAGCACCUCCUGCAUUUUCUUCUGGAUGUCCUCCACCCUCUUGGCCCACUUAUC